GAUGCUCUCCGGGGUUUCACCAAAACAUCUAGGAAAAGUUCAAGAAACCCCAAAACAUCUCCGAGGAGAUGCCUAUCUACAUGUUACGAGGAUCGACGUCGAUUUCCCCUUCAAGGUUUGCGAUUGCCAGAUUGUUUACAUUGAGAAGGUCAUCCAAUCGUUGGAAGAGUCUUUUCCAACCUAGCUCCUCCAAUUUCAGGGUCAAUUAGUCAUAAAGAGAAAUUUUAGUCAGGAAGAGCAUAGGCACAGAUGCAGCUUCAUUUGACUUGCAAUCUGGUAAUCUGACUACUUGCAUAGCUGAAGCAAAACAACUUGACCUUUCCAUUGCCGGGAGGCAGUAAAAAAUCGACUGAAACAUCUAGAUUCAGAUAGUUAUGCUGUUUUAGAAGGAAUUGUAAGGCAUACCAUGACUUUCCAUAAUUUUUUAUUUGUAAUUUGUUGGGCUAAUGAUAUCUUCUGUUUUCCAAGUCAUGAGUCAUUGAUAGCUUAUUUAAAUACUCUCUGUACUCAUUCCGGAAACUUGGGUUUCUGUUUGGGUCAAACAAUGAAAGAAAUCAUGAGAAUUGUUGGUCUAUUUUGCAACUUGAGGAGAUGCUUAUUAAAAACCAAGUCUUUUCACAGGUAACAUUUGCAGAAAGAGGCUUAGUAGGUUCUGAUUUUUUGCGGGAAUAUAUUAAUGGUGUUAUCCAUUAAUUCUACUUAAUUAUGAAUUUUUGUUUGACUUGAAUUCUGUCUAUCGAGAACUGAAAUUCUUGGAUACAACUUUUGUCCUCCUCUGUUAGAUUUAUAUCUCAGAUAUUCAGAAUAUAUCAUUUUAUUGUUUAAUCAUUAUUGCAAGCUACCAUGCCUUAUAUAAAAUAAAAAAAAAAUGGUAGCUGAAUAUCAUUUUUUCUGUCCACUUAUUUUGUGCUCCUUUAGAUCUCAUUCUGUUUCUGCUUCGGCUGAAUUUUUAUUCUUUUGAGAUGGAUUUAUUUGCCUAUAUCAAACCUCUAUUUAUCCCCUCAUCUGAAAUCAUUAGAAGCCACAGGAACUUCAGAGGGUUGCUCCCUGUUUACAUGAAGUUUAGCAACUGACAAGGUAUGUUUCUACUGGUCAGUCUUUUGAGCAUAAUGAAGUGUUCCUAUCUUGACCUAAAAUGGCUUUGCCAGGAAUUCAACACCGUUUUGUUAAAUGUCAGAAGAGAGAUCA